rnacentral:lncRNA from 1 species
CCUCAAUUGGGUCGUGAGAGGACAGAGGGAUUGGGCUAUAUAUCAAGUUGCAGGGACUGGGGGGGGUGGGAUCUAGAUGCUCAUUUGCAGGAAAAAGAGCCAGCUUUCAGUUAUACUGUUGGCAUAUUUUCUUGUCUAACUCUAGACAAGAAGUAGAGAGCAAUCUUUUUUUUUCAAGAUACUAGUUUUAGAGUUAUGUUGUUUAAUAUGGUAGACACUACCCAGGUAUAGUAACUAAAAUUUAAAUGUAAAUUGAAAACUUAAAUCCAAGUCCUCUGUCACACUAGUUUAUGUUAGGUAUACUGCACUAAUGGCUACCAUAUUGAAUGUGUAGAUAUAUGGAAUGUUUCCAUUAUCACAGAAAGUUCUAGUUGACAGUGCUGAUCUAGAGUAUUAGCCCUACAUAACCUAUGUAAACAAUUGUUUUUUAAUAUAACUUAAUUUGCCACAAGGCAUCUAUACAACUAGGCAAUUUGGUUUAUGAUAGGUUGAGAGACAUCAAAAAGCUUUUUCUCUCAUUUCAAUUAGAUGUUCUAAUUCUAGAUGGACACUAGAUUGUCAAUUGAUUUGAUAGAAUUGCUAUAUUUAGCCACUGCUCACCAAAGAGUGAGGGACACUAACAUUUGAUCUACUAGACGCAUUUUUGGUUUUGGUUUUUGGUCCAGAUUCUUGUUAGGAACAAAUGACCUAACUUCUAAGUUCUAGUUUUUAUCCCUAUUGACUUUGGCUUUUGAAAUUAAAAAUUUCAGGACAGAUUAUGUAUUAUGUUCAGGACAGAUUAUGUAUUUUGACUAUGUGAAUUUAAG